AUCUACGGUCAUGCCACCCUGAACACACCUAAUCUCGUCUGACCUUGGAAGCUAAGCAGGAUCGGGCCUGAUUAGUACUUGGAUAGGAGAUCACCUAGGAUUACCAGGUGUUGUAGAAA
rnacentral:rRNA from 1 species